UCAUAGUUUCAUGAGUUGACUCAUGAGUCGACUCAUGAACUUCAAACCUUCAUAACUCCAAAAAUAUAAGUCCAAAAACCAUGAAACUUUCACCAAUAGAUUACAUAUCAUUUGUUCUACCCGAUGAUGCUAUCAAAUCAGAGUUUUGAUGAAAUUAUAAUUUUGCCCCUGUAGAGCAUAAGGUCUUUUUCACAUAAAAAUUAUUUGUAUCCCUUCCAACUGUUUUGUAGUCAUCAAAAUCAAUCUAGGAGCAACAAU
rnacentral:lncRNA from 1 species